rnacentral:rRNA from 1 species
AUCGAACGCUGGCGGCAGGCCUAACACAUGCAAGUCGAGCGGACGUUUCGGGCUUGCUCCUGGACUCAGGGGUAGACCGUUGAGUCAUGCCUUUGAAUUCGCAUUAUCUUGGGGGAUCUUGUCCUGAUACGGGCUCUACCCUUCCAUACGUCGUGUGGUCGCCUUUGGGGGAUCCUCGGUCUUCUUGCUCUCAUUUUUGCCUAGGUCGGAUUAGCUAGUUGGUGGGGUAAAGGCCUAUCAAGGCGACGAUCCGUACAUGGUCUGAGAGGAUGAUCAGUCACACUGGAACUGAGACACGGUCCAGACUCCUACGGGAGGCAGCAGUGGGGAAUAUUGGACAAUGGGCGAAAGCCUGAUCCAGCCAUGCCGCGUGUGUGAAGAAGGUCUUCGGAUUGUAAAGCACUUUAAGUUGGGAGGAAGGGCAGUAAGUUAAUACCUUGCUGUUUUGACGUUACCAACAGAAUAAGCACCGGCUAACUUCGUG